AGAGUUUGAUCCUGGCUCAGAAUCAACGCUGGCGGCGUGCCUAACACAUGCAAGUCGAACGAGAAAGUGGAGCUUGCUUCACGAGUACAGUGGCAAACGGGUGAGUAACACGUGAACAAUCUACCCUUGAGUGGGGGAUAACACCGCGAAAGCGNUGCUAAUACCGCAUAACAUCUCUGGGUCGCAUGGCCUGGAGAUCAAAAGCGCAAGUUGCUUGAGGAGGAGUUCGCGCCUGAUUAGCUUGUUGGUGAGGUAACGGCUCACCAAGGCUCCGAUCAGUAGCCGGCCUGAGAGGGCGAACGGCCACACUGGAACUGAGACACGGUCCAGACUCCUACGGGAGGCAGCAGUGGGGAAUUUUGCGCAAUGGGCGAAAGCCUGACGCAGCAACGCCGCGUGGAGGAUGAAGGCCCUCGGGUCGUAAACUCCUGUCAGUGGGGAAGAAUGCUUCGCAAGAAGUUUGACUGUACCCAUUGAGGAAGCCACGGCUAACUCCGUGCCAGCAGCCGCGGUAAUACGGAGGUGGCAAGCGUUGUUCGGAAUUACUGGGCGUAAAGGGCGCGUAGGCGGCUUGGCAAGUCAGAUGUGAAAGCCCCGGGCUUAACCCGGGAAUUGCAUCUGAAACUGCUUUGCUUGAGUCCUGGAGGGGAUAGUGGAAUUCCCAGUGUAGCGGUGAAAUGCGUAGAUAUUGGGAGGAACACCUGCGGCGAAGGCGGCUAUCUGGACAGUGACUGACGCUGAUGCGCGAAAGCUAGGGGAGCGAACGGGAUUAGAUACCCCGGUAGUCCUAGCCGUAAACGAUGGGCACUUGGUGUCGGGGGUAUUGAGUCCCUCUGUGCCGGAGUUAACACGUUAAGUGCCCCGCCUGGGGAGUACGGUCGCAAGACUGAACUCAAGGAAUUGACGGGGGCCCGCACAAGCGGUGGAGCAUGUGGUUCAAUUCGACGCAACGCGAAGAACCUUACCGGGG
rnacentral:rRNA from 1 species